UACGGGGGGGGGCAAGCGUUGUUCGGAAUUACUGGGCGUAAAGGGCUCGUAGGCGGCCAACUAAGUCAGACGUGAAAUCCCUCGGCUUAACCGGGGGAACGCAUCUGAUACUGGAUGGCUUGAGUUCGGGAGAGGGAUGCGGAAUUCCAGGUGUAGCGGUGAAAUGCGUAGAUAUCUGGAGGAACACCGGUGGCGAAGGCGGCAUCCUGGACCGACACUGACGCUGAGGAGCGAAAGCCAGGGGAGCAAACGGG
rnacentral:rRNA from 1 species